UUUCUCCUUAAUGCCCGUAUAUCUGUAAUUCCACUUAACGCCCAUUUUCUUCUUCUUCCCUCUCUAACGAAUUGGAAGCAAAAUCGAAGAACAAAUUUGAAGCAACUUUUGGUGAUUCCUGGAUUCUUAUGCAGAAGAUACUUACUCUUUAAUUCAAAUGUCGGAGGAAAUUAUAUUCACAAAAAUGCACCAUGGGGGCUACUUUUCUGAGAUUCCUGUCCCCACUUAUGUUGGUGAGAGUGAACUAGCAGGUAUGUAUAUGGACAAGGACCACUUUUCUAUUACGGAGCUGGAAUUUUAUACUAAAGAAAUAGGGUAUGCGACUGUCGAGGGCUUUUAUUAUCAGAAUAGUGAGACCAAACAAUUUCACUUGGUGGAGUCGGACCUACAUCUAUUAGGCUUAAUAAAAGACUUAAAGCAUGGAGACAACUUUGAAAUAUGGGUUAAACAUGUUGUUGACCAUGCUUUAACUCUAGAUGGGGAGAGACCUACUGGCUACCUAAUUGGAGAGAGUGAAACUUUGUUAUUAAAUAAUAGAGAUGGUGAGACAUUUAACCUACAAGAAAUUGUUGUAGAAGAGGUAGUUGAAAGUUUGGGAGGUGAUUGCACUGGUCUGUUAGAUAUAGAAAGUCAUCUUUCAGAGGUGGAGAGUAGUGAUUCAGAUCUGGAAGAUAUACCUGAAGAGGAUGACUCAGAUGUAGAUGAGGAGUUGAGAACUCUUAGACAAGACAAAAGAAAUAAAAAAUAGAAGAAAAAAGCUCCUGUUACAGAAGAGAUACCUGUUGGAGAGGCUGGUGGUAUAGAUAGAGGGUUUGAGGAUAUUGGGGUAGACAAGGCUACCAAAUAUGCAGAAAAAAUUGGGGGGGGGGGGGGAUGAAGAGUAUAUCAGUAGCUCUGAAUGUUGGAGUGAUGAUAGCAGGGAGGAGCUAGAUGCAGAAGCUGUUAGAGGAGUAGAUCUACCCUCUAGGAGGAGAAGUAAAAAAGUAAGAUAUGAUGAAGCUUGUGAGGUGGCUGUAUUUGAGCUUGGUAUGGUAGUUGAGAAUGUAACACAGUUUAGAAAGGUUGUGGCAGAUUAUGCUUUUGAGUAUAGGAGGCAAAUUAAACUAAGGCCUAAUGAGCCUCAUAGGGUAAGGGCUAAGUGUAAAACAAAUACAUGUAAAUGGUUGUUGGCUGCUUCUUUGGAUAGAGACUCUGGUGAUUUUAGAGUCAUUAACUAUCAUCCUGUAUAUAAAUGCAUUCCUACUAACAAAAAUAAGCUUUGCACUUCUAACCUUAUUGCCAAAAAGUUCAAGGAUAGGAUAGUUUCCCGGCCAUAUAUAAGGCUUUGGGAAAUUCAAGAGCUAGUUAGAGACAAGUUGGGUCUUUAUGUUGGUAGGAUUGUGUGUCAGAGAGCAAAACAUAAAGUUCUGAAGGAAAAUAUGGGUGAUUGGAAGCUGCAAUUCUCAAGGUUAUGUGAUUAUGCAGACAUCAUCAAGCAAACUAAUCCAGGAAGCUCAUGCUGGGUUAAAAUUGAUAGAGAGACUGAUCAUGGGAAGAAUUUGUUUGUAUAUUUCUAUGUAUGCUUUUAAGCCUUCAAGAAAGGAUGGUUAGAUGGGUGUAGGAAAAUCAUAGGAUUUGAUGGUUGUUUUCUUAAGGGAGCUUGUGGAGGUCAACUUCUUGCUGCUGUUGGAAGGAAUAGAAACAAUCAAAUAUUUCUUAUUGCUUGGGCAAUAGUGGAUCAAGAAACAAAACAUAGCUGGAGUUGGUUCUUAGGAUAUUUGAUUGAUGACUUAAAUUUGGGCACUGGUGAAGGUUUGACUGUAAUGUCAGAUAUGCAAAAGGGACUUGUUCCUGACAUAAUGAAGUUAUUGCCAAAUGUAGAGCAAAGAAUGUGUGCUAGGCAUAUCUGGAGUAACUGGCAUAUUAAAUGGAGAAGAGAAGCUAGAAGAAAGCAGUUCUGGAGAUGUUCAAAAGCUAGCUUUGAAGUCAAAUUUAAUGAGGAGGUGGAAGCAUUGAGUAAAUUAGUCUGGAGUGGGGGAUUCUUCACAGCCUAGAGAAUCAAAUGCCCAACCUAGCCAACCAAGCCAACCAAGCUCUGUUUGUGAAGACACUACAGCUGUUAGAAGAGUUAACCAAAGUAGGGGAGGUGCUGGGAAAGGCAGAGGAGGUGGAAGUAGAAGAGGUAAUGGAAGAGGAACCCCAUUUGUAAGUCCAAGAGAUGCUUCAUCUAGUCAGACUAAGGGUUCUAAUUCUGCUGAAUGUGUUGCUGCAACUGGAGGAAACAAAAGGCCUAGAACUAUUGGGUUUGGUGUAUACUCUGACCCUCAAACUGGAAACCAAGUGUUUAAUCCUUGUACCUCAAGUGAGAGAGUUCUACAAGGAUUCUCAACAGUGAAUAGUGCCUCACCAACCAAUAUUGAUAUUGGUUUUGUUCCAUGGGGCCUGAAAUGGAAGGAAAAGAUGCAGUCACCACCUCACAAUUGCAACAAAUGAAGGCCAACAAAAGGAAUAAAGUGAAUACUUCAUCAUCAACAACCAAGAAGUAGUUCUAAAAGUGAACUGUUUUAGUUUUUUGUCUAUGUAAUAUUGAACAAUAUUGAUGUCUAGGGAUGAUGUUAAUUUAGGUCUUUUGUCGAUGUAUUGAUGCUGCUAAACUUAUGAAGCACUUAUGCUUUUGGUACCAUUUUAUUGGAGUUGCAGUGUUACAUUUGAGCUCAAUUGAGAGUAGUUUAAUAGUAAUCCUUAUUGGUGUAUGA